rnacentral:rRNA from 1 species
UACGUAGGGUGCAAGCGUUGUCCGGAAUUAUUGGGCGUAAAGAGCUCGUAGGCGGUUUGUCGCGUCUGCUGUGAAAUCCCGAGGCUCAACCUCGGGCCUGCAGUGGGUACGGGCAGACUAGAGUCCGGUAGGGGAGCGUGGAAUUCCUGGUGUAGCGGUGAAAUGCGCAGAUAUCAGGAGGAACACCGAUGGCGAAGGCAGGUCUCUGGGCCGAUACUGACGCUGAGGAGCGAAAGCGUGGGGAGCGAACAGG